rnacentral:misc_RNA from 1 species
AACCUAGCACACCUGCGGUGUGUACCUGCGGAGGGAUCAUUACAGAGUUCGUGCCCUCGCGGGUAGAUCUCCCACCCUUGUGUAUUCUCUACAUCUUGUUGCUUUGGCAGGCCGUUGGUUCGCCAACCACCGGCUCGCGGGCUGGUGCGUGCCUGCCAGAGGACCUCUCAAACUCGGCUUGUCAGUGUCGUCCGAGUACCAUAACAAUCGUUAAAACUUUUAACAAUGGAUCUCAGAUCG